rnacentral:rRNA from 1 species
GACGAACGCUGGCGGCGUGCCUAAUACAUGCAAGUCGAACGAGAGCGACCGGUGCUUGCACUGGUCAAUCUAGUGGCGAACGGGUGAGUAACACGUGGGUAACCUGCCCAUCAGAGGGGGAUAACAUCCGGAAACGGAAGCUCAAACCGCAUAGGUCUUCGAGCCGCAUGGCUUGAAGGGGAAAACAGGCGCAGGCUUCUGCUGAUGGAUGUAGCUGCGGUGCAUUAGAAAGUUGGUGGGGUAACGGCUCACCAAGGCCGUGAUGCAUAGCCGACCUGAGAGGGUGAUCGGCCACAUUGGGACUGAGACACGGCCCAGACUCCUACGGGAGGCAGCAGUAGGGAAUCUUGCGCAAUGGGCGCAAGUCUGACGGAGCAACGCCGCGUGAGUGAAGAAGGUUUUCGGAUCGUAAAACUCUGUUGUUAGAGAAGAACAAGUGCUAGAGUAACUGUUAGCGCCUUGACGGUACCUAAACAGAAAGCCACGGCUAACUACGUG